rnacentral:rRNA from 1 species
GCUGAAGGAGGAGCUUGCUUCUCCGGAUGAGUUGCGAACGGGUGAGUAACGCGUAGGUAACCUGCCUGGUAGCGGGGGAUAACUAUUGGAAACGAUAGCUAAUACCGCAUAAGAGUAGAUGUUGCAUGACAUUUGCUUAAAAGGUGCAGUUGCAUCACUACCAGAUGGACCUGCGUUGUAUUAGCUAGUUGGUGGGGUAACGGCUCACCAAGGCGACGAUACAUAGCCGACCUGAGAGGGUGAUCGGCCACACUGGGACUGAGACACGGCCCAGACUCCUACGGGAGGCAGCAGUAGGGAAUCUUCGGCAAUGGACGGAAGUCUGACCGAGCAACGCCGCGUGAGUGAAGAAGGUUUUCGGAUCGUAAAGCUCUGUUGUAAGAGAAGAACGAGUGUGAGAGUGGAAAGUUCACACUGUGACGGUAUCUUACCAGAAAGGGACGGCUAACUACGUGCCAGCAGCCGCGGUAAUACGUAGGUCCCGAGCGUUGUCCGGAUUUAUUGGGCGUAAAGCGAGCGCAGGCGGUUAGAUAAGUCUGAAGUUAAAGGCUGUGGCUUAACCAUAGUACGCUUUGGAAACUGUUUAACUUGAGUGCAAGAGGGGAGAGUGGAAUUCCAUGUGUAGCGGUGAAAUGCGUAGAUAUAUGGAGGAACACCGGUGGCG